CUGAAAUGUUCGCCACAUUAGAAACUUGAUCAAAUUCUGUUAACAGCGCAUCGUGUCCUAUUGCCGCUAGUAGUCUGUGCUCGAUUGGUAUUCGAGUAAAUGCGAUACUCCCAACAUUUUCAUUUUCUACUUGUUUUUAUGAAUAUUCAUUCGCAAACAAAUGAUCCUGUUGGCGUCCUCCGCGUGCAGUCUCUCUUUGGCCUGGUUAGGGCAUGAAUAUAGUAACCUGCUAUGGAUAUACCAUAUACAUGGCCAGGCGCUAGGCAUCAGAUUAAUCCCAGCUUAGGCGCAAACGUAGCUGACGGAUGAAGAGGCCUGAUAUAAUGCGCGAGCUCAGAGAAGUUUUUCUUCUACAUGGAACGGGAACAAAAGCCAGCAGAAUAAUGUUUUGAACGGCUGAUAGCGAAGAGUUUAUGGAGAUUAGGAUCGCUCGACGUUAUUCGUUCCAAGUCGAUCAUCAAGAAGCUUUGUCAAAGCUAAGAUAGAUACCAGAAAAACUAAAAAAAUAUGAGAAAAAUGGAGCGUAUAGUAUAUAGCCCAAUACGGGUAUACGUGUCUCAUAUACGAGAAAGUGGGUUUACCGUUUAUCGUAAAUGGUCGAGGGAAGUUGUACGUGAAUUCGGAGGAUAAGUGUAAGCCACCCCAAGCAACUUAAAGCUUUGUUCCAGUAUGUACUCUUCUAUUGACACCAUGAUUAAUUGUUCCUGACGGAAACGAAAGCUUCAAGAGGAAAGUAUCUGCUGUUUAGUUGUGCAAACUGAUUAAAAUACGUAUCAUAUAUUAAAACUUUGUCUACAGAGCUCGUACCAGUAAAUAUAUAUAAAGAAUAUUGUAACAAAAUGUGGUUGGCUUUAAAGGGCAUCAAAAGUGACUAUUUUCAUUUUGUUUCGCUAUCAGACGAUAUGAAACUCGGAACUCAACGUUAUCUGCGGCGCAAAAAUUAUAUUAAGGGCAAUUCUAGAUAAAUUUUCUUUAAUUCACUUAAAAUUAAUCAACUCAUUUUAAUUCUAUUUAUCUAUAUUUACAAAUCUAAUUAAUGCUACUACCGCUUAAAGUUAUAUUCACUAAUAGGACGUUUCAAUGUCACCACCUGACUAACGAUUAAGCCCCUGUCGACAGCCUAAUGAUUUGACCUGUCGUCGUUUUCGAAGCACCGCAAAGUUGUCCGCUACUUUUCGAUAUCAAUGUUUGACACCAAUACAACAAUGCGCGAUAAACUUUCGCAAAGACUGCUAUAAUAGAAAUCGUAAAACUGAACCGCCUAUAGGCCUUUUCCUAUGACUUGCGAAGCAAUUUUCUUCUAUUGAUCGAUUGGCCUAUUUGCAAAAAUAACGAAGGCAAGGUUACAUCCACAUACUUUAGCUGCUACUAUAGGGUUGGCCAUUAUAUAUGUAUGUACAUAUAGGCAAAGCCUUAGGAAAAAUAAGCCAUUAGGAGAAAUUUAGCUUUGUUGUCGCUGAAAAACGAAUGCACAUAUAUCAUAAUGGUACAAACAAAAUGUGAAAUUCUGAAUAGAUACGUUUUUUUUUAUGGCUAUAUAGGCGCAGAACGAGGGUUCGAAGGGCGUGCGUACCUACUAGACAUUGCCAAAACAAAGUCAGUCCACUUGCACAAGACACACACAAACACAUACACACAAAUAUAUAUAUAUAUAUAUAUAUAUAUAUAUAUAUAUAUAGCUGUCUUAGACGAAUCCGGCUGAGCUUGAAAUUAUUUAUACGUUAGAGGUACUCUUUUUUAUUACUACCACAUUUUGUCCAUGCGUUUUUCUAGACAGUUAGGUACCUUCCGUUCGCUUUCCUAUAUGUGAUCUCUUUGCCUAUGAUUUCUCAAAAUAAAUCCUCAAAAGGACAACCUCGUAGCUACACGAACUUAGAUCGGGACAAUAAGUGAGUUAAAGCUAACGUUGAAUAUUUCAUUACUCAAUUCAUUAAAUAUUUGGGACACGGUCCAACAUUGUCGCCAGGUAACCAGGCUGUACGCUUUUUGUUGCCUUGCCAAUGGGAUAUGGGUAUUUCGAAAUGGCCAGCUGUAUGCACUGUCAGCGAAUGUUUUAUAGUAAAAUGUUUUAUAGUAAAAUUUACAGUAAAAAAAAAAAAAAAAAGUACCGAAUAUCCACUGCAAGUACAGUCAUCCGCUGCCACCCAAAUCGAUCUUUUUUGCGCCAUUCUCUCGCCUGAUCGCUCUCCGUCUGACGAUAAAGAUGCAUUCUUGGUCUGCAGCAGCCAUAUGUUCCAUGCUGCUUUUUUAUUAAUUAAAGGUCCGCAUGUUGCAUUGGAAUACAUAACCUGCAUUCUUAACCAGCCUGGAAUCGAUUCACGGGCGACAUAUUCUUUACUUGGUUUCUGCAAUUGAAAGAUUUAAGUUAUUCUUCUGUAACACGUUACAUAUGAGAUGUUAGCUUUGGCCGACAGAAUCACUAGAUUUUAAAAGCUUUGCUUUCGUCAAAAAUCCUCUCGAUUGUCGUUGGGGUUUUGACAUCUGGUUACCGACUCGCUGAUCUCCAACACCCCAAUCCCCGUUUUUUUCUUUACGUUUACGGUGCUUUCUCUUAAGGUCCAUUCACCUAACGUUUUCAUCAGCCUUUGAUACAUUUCUGUACGCCGUUUAGUUCUAAAAUUAUCCAAUUUCAAUGUCCGCCGGAUUCACUUGUAGCAGCUUCGCGCAAUACAUUGACAAAGGAAAAUCUGGUGAGGAUGUCAUUCUAAUUAGUCUAAAAUUAAUUUAGUACUGCCUAGAGAGCUUUCUGGUGGUGGGAACGCCGAAAGGCGGAAUAUUACGGAUCUGCGCCGGGACACGCACCGGCGGCUUUGGAAUCGGUGACGGCAUAUGAACGCGCUGUUUGAGGAAGACACGUCUACCCCGCGGGAGUUCAAGGACGGCACAAACGUGACGGUAAAUACCGAACGGCUAAUACCAGAAUCCUCUAAGGACUUAGAGCUGAAGUAUCAUGGGCCAUUCCCUAUCAUGAACCGAGUGACUCUGUACAGCCAGGCCCCCUGCCGGCAACUGACUGUGAACGGCAAGGAUAUUCGGCGAUAUGUUGAAUACAUACUCCGGUAGCGCGGUCGAAUGUAAAGAUACACGAGCGCUAGUCGUAUUUUAAUUGGGCAGGUUAUAAUAGGUAAAUGCGGCGCAGAUCUAUGUAUGACGGCUGCAGGAAGCAGAUUAUACCGCAGUUCACUGGUAGCAGGUAGUAAUACUACAUAUGUGUAUAUAUAGUCAUUAUAUUUAACUACCACUUACCGCAGUUGAAGUAUCAACUCAAGACCUGGCCAUUCACUAGUCAUCUUCAAAAACUAUUUAUCUACAAAGGGGUCCAGCGAGAUUAAACUUUGAGCAGACAGCGGUUCAACGAUCGUGGGAAGACAAACGCUUAGGAAGGCAAAAAGGAUGGAAACUGCAAAAAAACGCAAUUAUUUUUAAACAGAUUAACCGUUGCAAUUUAUGCGAAGGAGCCGAUUGGUAACUGGCAUUCCCCCCUUCAAAACGAUCGUUAAGUUUCGUAUAAAACUCGGCUGUAUUCAAAAUGGUUUUUUAAGCCCGUCAAAUCUAAGCCCUAAGGAUUUCAAGAUUUGUCUCAUAAAAAUAUUACUCCGAUUUUUAGAAGCUGCAUAAAAACUGGCAAUAACGUAGGCCGUCGAUAUCGGUAAAAAAGCAAACUGUGAAUCUCGUUUGCGCUUCGCCCAGCGCGAAUAACGGGCCAAUAGCUAAACUUUGUUCAAAUUUCGAAAGCGAGGCGCUCUUCUUUGUCAAGGCUAAUUUUUUUUAUUUUGGUUUAAAAAGAAUUGGCCUUCUUGUGGCACCAGGAAAGCGGGCAAACGCAUGCCCACUACGACAAUUCAUGAAAGUUUAUAUACAUAAAAAAAAAGACCGCGAAGGAAAUGAGCAGCGAUUUAUUUUAUAUAACAACUGCUUCGUAGUUCUCCGCUUGCAAUGAAGUGUCUACUGUUGUUUAUUAAAUGCGUUGCCAAGCCCUCAGGGGCAAUCUCUUUUUUUCUCACAAUUCUUUACGUCGAUUUAUUACUCUGUGUAGAUUGAUUAGCAUUUAAAAAUUUUAAAUUCGAGCAUAAUUCUUUCACUAGUGAUAACGAUGGGUUGCUAAGUUCAGGUAACAUACAAAUAUAUAUACGACAUCACCAAACAAUAGAUGUUUAUAUAAAACAGCACAUGUCCAGUCUUUCACGUUCUACAGAUGUUUUACAAUUAACCUUCCUCCCCUUUAAACAAAUCAAGUGUUACGUUUCGCAAGUUCCGUAGGACCUUUGAAAUGCGUUCAUUUUCUACAAUGUCUACCUUUUGCAAAUUCAUAUAUUAAUCUGCCGAUUCAAUGAAGACACCUGUUGAAGAGAAAAGUUAACGUUAUCGCCGUACACUGGUCCGCUAUUAACAAAAUGGACGAAGAAAGUUUUGCCUUUUUUUAAACUAAACGUUUACAAAUAUGAUUAUAAUAAUUUCAUCUUUGUACGGGCAGGUUCGACCUUGCCAGAAGCUGUCGUGUGUCUGUACAAAGCGUUGUUUGUGUAUCUUGUCUGUUAAUGUGCGUUCCAGUUUAUUUGCAGAUUUCGCUGAAAAAGCUGCAUGCUGUGACAGUCUCUCCAGCGUUGACUGCAUCUCGAACACUGCAGAGAAAUUACCUCGACGUUAACCCUAUUCGCGACGUGGUGAUGCAGAUCCGUAAGACAUCUAACGGUUCUCAGGCAGGUAUUUCGAUUAGGCAAAUGGGCCUAUAAGAAGAUACACAAUUCUUCAUCGCUACAGAGCUUCUACCUGCUCGUGUUCUGGCUCCCGCCUUGGUUUACGCAGAGCGUUAACCCGGUUUCCGUCCUGCUGUCAAUCUUUUAUAUAGCAGGAGACAUAGUUUCCCUUAUAUUCGGGUAUCAGUGGUUCACACACAAGGGAACUUUUCCGUGGCAUCUAUUGUGCCUAUUUUAGCUAAUUCGAUCACGUAGACCUGAGCAAACCACUCUCGGUCAGGUGUAUUUAAUCACCCGAAGCCCGCACUGACGAUGAUAAUCCUAAUCAUCAUUCGAAGAGGAUAAAAUCCGGCAGGCAACCCAUGAUGACCAGAAAAUCUUUGCGCUCAUUUAACAAAAAAAAAAUCAUGACAACAAGACGAGAAUAGAUUUAGGCACGAGCCCAUGCUGUGUCUUGCGUGACCGUGAAGAUAAUGAAUUCAAUAGUUGAACAGAUAAUGAUCAGGACCAGUUGUUAACUUGGCUUAAAUUUGUGCAUCUCUAUGCUUAUUACAUUGAACGAUUUUGAGGGUCAGAAAAAGGCGUUCUCACACUGAUUUUAUUGGACACCAAGCUACCGAAGAUUCCUGAAUCAUUAGAGGUUGCAAAAGAAUGCCGUGGUCGUCGAAAGCUUUACCUUAACAGUAAAUAAUAAAAUUGCCAGGUAGUAAAUCGCUUGGACAAUGGUCAACCUGGCCCAUGGUGCCUCAAACACAUUCAGCAGACCAAUAUUCGAAUAGAUACCCAGAGGACGACUGCCCACACAGAAUAAUCACUGGAGGUCAACUUAACAUCACAUCCAUAGGACGUGUUUAAUAAAUAAACGACUAUAUUUUGUGACUGCUCUUACGCACGUAUCAAAACGUUUUAUUAGAUAGAAGAUGAUUCAAUAAAGCUAAGAGAAUUAACAAGUACGAGCAGUGGCUUCUUCUAAGUCUAUAACAACUAAAAAGCUAUUUUGCCUGCGCCAACAAUGCAACAACAUAUUAGAUCUACGUACGUACGUUCAAGGACAAUAUGAAUGAUAUAUGGCCUAUUUGAAAUUGUGCCGGUCGAUUUUAUCCGAACGGCGUCAACACCCUGAGCUAAUGGCUUCGGCUCAACGCAAACCGAUA